rnacentral:rRNA from 1 species
AGUUUGAUCAUGGGCUCAGAGUGAACGCUGGCGGAAUGCUUUACACAUGCAAGUCGAACGGUAGAGGGGGCAACCCCUUGAGAGUGGCGAACGGGUGAGUAAUAUAUCGGAACGUGCCCAGUCGUGGGGGAUAACGUAGCGAAAGUUACGCUAAUACCGCAUACGAUCUAAGGAUGGAAAGCGGGGGACUCGCAAGAGCCUCGCGCGAUUGGAGCGGCCGAUAUCAGAUUAGGUAGUUGGUGGGGUAAAGGCUCACCAAGCCAACGAUCUGUAGCUGGUCUGAGAGGACGACCAGCCACACUGGAACUGAGACACGGUCCAGACUCCUACGGGAGGCAGCAGUGGGGAAUUUUGGACAAUGGACGCAAGUCUGAUCCAGCCAUUCCGCGUGCAGGAUGAAGGCCCUCGGGUUGUAAACUGCUUUUGUACGGAACGAAAAGGUCUCUCUUAAUACGGGAGGCUCAUGACGGUACCGUAAGAAUAAGCACCGGCUAACUACGUG